rnacentral:rRNA from 1 species
UGGGGAAUAUUGGACAAUGGGGGCAACCCUGAUCCAGCCAUGCCGCGUGAGUGAUGAAGGCCCUAGGGUUGUAAAGCUCUUUCACCGGUGAAGAUAAUGACGGUAACCGGAGAAGAAGCCCCGGCUAACUUCGUGCCAGCAGCCGCGGUAAUACGAAGGGGGCUAGCGUUGUUCGGAAUUACUGGGCGUAAAGCGCACGUAGGCGGAUAUUUAAGUCAGGGGUGAGAUCCCAGAGCUCAACUCUGGAACUGCCUUUGAUACUGGGUAUCUCGAGUAUGGAAGAGGUGAGUGGAAUUCCGAGUGUAGAGGUGAAAUUCGUAGAUAUUCGGAGGAACACCAGUGGCGAAGGCGGCUCACUGGUCCAUUACUGACGCUGAGGUGCGAAAGCGUGGGGAGCAAACAG